rnacentral:tRNA from 1 species
CGGGACGUAGCGCAGCCUGGUAGCGCGCCUGUUUUGGGUACAGGAGGUCGGAGGUUCGAGUCCUCUCGUCCCGACCA